UGGAUGGAUGGGUGGGUGGUUGGGUGGCAGGUUGGAUAGAUAGAUAGAUAGAUAGAUAGAUAGAUAGAUAGAUAGAUAGAUAGAUAGAUAGAUAGAUAGAUAGAUAUUCGUCGUAAACAUUUAACAAAGAGUGCGCAAGUAGCCUAAUUACGCAUAAUGACACAAUUGCGCGUGACGCCAUAUGAACAUUCAUUCCAAUAUUCCAAUAUCUGUUCAAUCCGUGAUCACCACUCUAUCCAAAACUAGACAAAUUCUACAUUCCCCGUUCUAUUUCCCGUGUCUUUAACGCCAGCACACAGAACACACAGAACACACACUGUAUGAAUGUUUAACUUUACGCCCGACUACAGGAUUGUCGACUGCACUUGCUGUGAGGGUGUAAUAGUGCACUCCAAAGUCCUUAGCCGCAAAAUAAAAUAAAAAAAAAGCUGCGCACUAAAAGUCCCCAGUUUGAAAUUCACAUAGAGACUGUGUGAUUAAACAGAGACUGUAGCUGCUAGUUCAACACUGCAGGUGUAUAUACCGCGAUGGGCUUUUUUUGUAUGUAUUAUAUAAAUGUAUUAUCAUUAUUUUCUCUGCUGUGGAAGCUACAGCACAUCGCGGUCCAUGCUGUGCCUGGAAAGUCGCGAUUCCUCCUCUAUACAAGAGCGCAUGGGUUUAAAUAAAUAAAUAAAUCCAUAAAAGCACCUUAUAAACCACUAACUUCACACACACGCUAUGACGUGAUUAUUUCCUCCCUCAUAUGGCAUUACAUUGCUCAAUCUGGACCGAAAGAACCAUAUCGAAUUAACUCGUGGUCAUAAUAAAUCGGGUUUUUUUAUGCAUUUAUUUUUUUUUUAUUAUUUUUGGAUCUAGAGCUUAGCGUGCGAUGUUUUACUCCUGAUGCAUAUGGUGAUAUCAUCAGCCUGUACAAGGUUGAGCCGAUAUGUCUUACACGGACGAACUUCUGCACCGUUCCUCACCGCGUCAGGCUGAGUGUUCGCGUUGAGCGGGCGCGGAUGGUGCAGUGCUCUCCCGCAGAGCUCCCGCAUGCACAACCGCACAGGGUCCUUGGAACACAGAGCAUGAGACAGGAACACAUCUGACCCUGGAUGAGACAGCAGUUCAUCUCAGGAUACAGUGAGAUACUUACACAUUCACAACCAGAGGCAAUUUAUCUUCACCACUUCAACUACUGCUAGGUGUUUGCUUGCUGGGAAGAAAACAGAGAACCCAGAGAAUAAUCCAUGGGGUGAGAAAUAACACUGUGAGGCAUAGACCCCUUUAUUUAUCUCUUAUAUUAUACUGAUAUAUCAUGUCAUAUAGAUACAACUUUUACAUUUAUAUAUAUUUAAUUUAUGUGUUUAUGCAGUAUAUAUAUGUAAUAAUAAUAAUAAUAAUAAUAAUAAUAAUAAUAAUAAUAAUAAUAAUUAUUAUUAUUAUUAUUAUUAUUAUUAUUAUUAUUAUUAUUAUAAAAGUGCAGCCUUCCAACAACUCGCAUAUAGUCCAUGUAAGAUAAAAUUAGCACGAUUGUGAUCAGUCUCUGUGCUUAAACCCUCUCUGUCAUUGCUUUAAUUACUAUUACAUUUUGUUUCCACAUUUGUAUUGACACAUUAAAUGGUUAAUUGGUGUGACUUUCUUUUCCUUCUGCACUUUUCCUGUCCCCCGGUUGUGCAAAGCGUUAGCGUUAAUGUUACACAGCUUCAUUUAUAGUGCAAGAGCUUUCUGUUCAUUCCGAAGCAUCUUUACAUUCUUGCAUCACAGCGCCACCUGCAGGGCGUAAAUACAUCGCAUUUAAUUCCCUGUAGACUCCUGGGAUGUGACGACAGAGACAGACAGAGAAAAGAAAAGAGAGGGAUAACAAUUGACAGAAAGAAUAACAAAGAGAUAGAAAGUGAGAAAGUUGGAGAGAGGAAAUACAG